rnacentral:ncRNA from 1 species
UGCAUACAAGGCAAAAAAGGUGUCACAAAGACUUAAUAGGGAAUCUGGUGCAAGUCCAGAGCUGUCCCCGCAACUGUAAAUGCAGACGAAAUGAAAUCACCACUGUACGGCAAGGUCGUAUGGGAAGGUUCAAAGUAGGAGGAAGCAUGAGUCAGUAGACCUGCCUUUUUUGCGUUAGUUUC